AUUGAACGCUGGCGGCAGGCCUAACACAUGCAAGUCGAACGAGUGGCGGACGGGUGAGUAAUGUCUGGGGAUCUGCCUGAUAGAGGGGGAUAACUACUGGAAACGGUAGCUAAUACCGCAUACUAUCGGAUGUGCCCAUAUGGGAUUAGCUAGUGGGGGGGGUAACGGCUCACCUAGGCGACGAUCCCUAGCUGGUCUGAGAGGAUGACCAGCCACACUGGAACUGAGACACGGGCCAGACUCCUACGGGAGGCAGCAGUGGGGAAUAUUGCACAAUGGGCGCAAGCCUGAUGCAGCCAUGCCGCGUGUAUGAAGAAGGCCUUCGGGUUGUAAAGUACUUUCAGCGGGGAGGCGUUACCCGCAGAAGAAGCACCGGCUAACUCCGUGCCAGCAGCCGCGGUAAUUC
rnacentral:rRNA from 1 species